GCGUGGUCUAAAGAAAGAGACCAAAUUUAGAAUCGAGACCAAUUUAGGUUUCUCCUCUCUUUCUUGGCCAAAAUUCACAUGUCAAUCGAUCCCAUCGCAUAGCUUCGCUUGGCCUCAUGUCCUCCAUCAUAGGUACAUAUCCAUCUUCUCUCCUUUCUUUUCUCUCCUAUAUCUCCGACAUGUAUCAUCUGAAAUUGAUUUUCAUUUUUAGGGUAAUUUUUCUUCUUCUGCUCUCUUUCAAUCUGCACUUUGUUCAUCCAUUUGUGCUUAAUCAAAUUACCUAGAGUUUGCGUUCGCUUAGAGAGAAAAGAAGAGUCGGACACCAGAUAGCGAGCAAAAAUCCGGAGGAGGAGAGAGGAAAUUGAUCGGGAAUCGCAACUCACAAAGGUAAAGAGAGAGGAAAUUGAUCGGAGCAGAGGAUUGGGUACUUAAAACCCUUCAAGAUUGGACAAAAUCCAUCAAACCCAUUGUAUGUAGGAAGGUUUUCGGCCUUGCUGAAGGUAAGUUUUUUUAUGUCAAUUAUCCCCUUUACAGCGGAUUCGAUCUGCUUCUUUUUUUGGGUUUCACCCGUUACGCCGUGCUUUCUCCGUUACCGAGUCCGGCGCAAUGGCCGAAACUUUGAACCCUGAUACUGAAGAUUCACUCUGUGAAACACUUAAAUUGAUUGAUUAUUUUUUCUUCAGUUGGCAUGUAUUAUAUGCAGAGUACGUAAGCUCAAUGAUUAUACUAAAAAAAUUUCUCCAAGUUGCUUUUUAUUAUAUAUCUGUAUGCAAUAUGCAUGUAUUUGUUUAUUUUUUUUGAUAUCUUUGUAUAUAUGUAAUUAUUUUUGAACCAUGAAACUAUUGCUGCCUGUUAAUCCAUCGCCUAACAGGCACAAUCACUUUUCAAGGUCUGAAAGUGAUGGUAUAUACUCGAGUGUUCAUCUUUUGUGCCUAAAUUGGGGCCCAUUUGUGCCAAAGUCUUUAUUUAUGACUCAAUCUAUAUGCAUAUAUUAUCUUUGAACAGUUAAUUUUGUUGUGGUCCAGCGCAGAAGUGUUUAGGUCGUAUGCCUUUUAAUUCUAUCAUCAUUUCUUUAAUUGCUCACAUGGCAAUUUUAUUAUAGGCCUAAAUGUGAAGCUGAGCUAUUUUCCGGAACUGCCCGUGUAGCGGAAUUCAACUCUGGCGUCUUGAAUUUGUAGGCAGCUGUUUUUAACGUCAUUUCAGGUACCAAAAUCUGAAAGUUACUUUCUGACAUUGAAUUAACAAACAUUUGAUAUAUACAUUAUGCUCUUUUUGAAUUUUCUUUGCUUUUGAGGUUGGCUCAAAGAACUUUAGCUUGAUUUUUUAAAACAAUUUAUACCUAUUCUUUUGAUAAUGUGGUUCAGUUGCUUUAAUUUGGCUACUAAUUUACCAAUAUUAGAAGUUGUC
rnacentral:lncRNA from 1 species